rnacentral:lncRNA from 1 species
AUGGGUGCUGAGCCCCACAGCGUCCCCAGGGCCAGGGUGAUGGGCCCCACAGCGUCCAUGGGGCUGAGGUCAGGAGCACCCAUGGGUGCUGGGUGCCAUCCCAGGCCUCAGGUGAGGGUGAUGGGCCCCACAGCAUCCAUGGGGCUGAGGUCAGGAGCACCCAUGGGUGCUGGAUGCUGUGACAGCCCUAAGGCGAGGGUGAUGGGCCCCAUAGCAUCCAUGGGGCUGAGGUCAGGGGCACCCAUGGGUGCUGUCACAGCCCUAAGGCCAGGGUGAUGGACCCCAUAGCAGCCCAGGGGGCACCCAUGGGUGGGUGAUGCCACCCCGUGGCCACCACCAGAGGCACAGAUACCAGUCCAGCAGGUUGGGCGCAGCCCCGAGGCCGCGGCGAUGGGCACAGCAGGGUGCCAGGUGCCACCCCGAGUGUCCCAGGUGUCACCCCGAGGUGGGGGGUGACAAGUCUCUUGGGUUGUCACCCUGAGGAGGAGCAGGGUGAGGGUCCCGGGUGCCCCUCAGCGGGCAGCGCCUCCUGUUGUGUGGUUGUGGGGUUGCAGGGCGGGUGACAGCAGCAGACGGGGGCAGGAGGCACCCAAGGGUGUCCCCACGGGUGUCCCCACCAGCGUCCCGUUGGGUGGCCAGGGUGUCCCACCAGUCCGAAGCAGCGCUCCCUCCCCGGGAGGGGGUGUCACAGUGGGUGUCAGGGGGGGUUGGGGUGUCACGGUGGGUGCCUGGGGUGUCCCCACAGCGGUGGGGGUCACCUCGGGUGUCAGGGGCACCUCGGGUGUCACGUCCCCCGGCGCGCUGUAGAUCUGGGCGCUCACCACGGCCAGGAGCAGCACCAGGAGCCGCUUCGCCGCGCUCGGCUCUUCCGUGGGGGGCGGCCGCCGCACCUGGGGGGGCAAAAAAGUGGGGUGAGAACUCACCUGCCUGGGGCAAAUACCCCCCCCGGGGCAAAUACCCCCCUGGGGCAAAUAACACCCCCCCCGGGGCAACUAUCCCCCUCCCCGGGGGGCAAGUAACUCCCUCUGACCAAUCUUAGGGAACCCAUCCAAGGUCGACCCCCUCCGACCCUGCUUAGCUUCCACGAGGGUAAUUGGGGUAAUUACCCCCCCGGGGCAAAUAACACCCCCCCCACCGGGGGGGCAACUAUCCCCCUCCUCAGGGCAACUAACUCUCCCCGGUCAGGCUUAGGGAACCCAUCCAACGUCAACCCCUCCCGACCCUGCUUAGCUUCAGGAAGGGUACCUGAGGUAAUUACCCCCCCCGGGGCAAAUAC